UACGGAAGGCAGCAGUGGGGAAUAUUGCACAAUGGGCGCAAGCCUGAUGCAGCCAUGCCGCGUGUAUGAAGAAGGCCUUCGGGUUGUAAAGUACUUUCAGUCGUGAGGAAGGUGUUAAGGUUAAUAACCUUAGCAAUUGACGUUAGCGACAGAAGAAGCACCGGCUAACUCCGUGCCAGCAGCCGCGGUAAUACGGAGGGUGCGAGCGUUAAUCGGAAUUACUGGGCGUAAAGGGCACGCAGGCGGUUAAUUAAGUUGGAUGUGAAAUCCCCGGGCUUAACCUGGGAAUGGCAUUCAAGACUGGUUAGCUAGAGUCUUGUAGAGGGGGUAGAAUUCCAUGUGUAGCGGUGAAAUGCGUAGAGAUGUGAGGAAUACCGGUGGCGAAGGCGGCCCCUGGGACAAAGACUGACGCUCAUGUGCGAAAGCGUGGGGAGCAAACAGGGAUUAGAUACC
rnacentral:rRNA from 1 species